ensembl:lncRNA
GUGUGUGUGUGUGUGUGUGUGUGUGUGUCUGUGUGUCUCUGUAUCAGUAGCCUGUGUGUGUGUGUGUGUGUGUGUGUGUGUCUGUAUUAAUAGUGUGUGUGUGUGUGUGUCCUGUGUGUGUGUGUGUGUGUGUGUGUGUGUCUGUAUUAAUAGUGUGUGUGUGUGUGUGUGUGUGUGUGUGUGUGUGUCUGUAUUAAUAGUGUGUGUGUGUGUGUGUGUGUGUGUGUGUGUGCCAAAGUUGCCUCGUGUUCCAGUCCCCGGGCCGGUGAGUUUGUAGCACAGGUCAAAGCAGGUUAAAAUAUCAGGUUGCACUGAUUAAAUGAGCGCUGUCUCUGAAUACAGUGUAUCUGCGCUCCACUUGUGUAACCUGUCACUGUCACAG